rnacentral:tRNA from 1 species
GCGGGCGAAGCACAGUAGGUUGUGCACUUGCCUUCCAAGCAAGAUGUCGCGGGUUCGUAUCCCGUCGCCCGCUCCA